GUGGGGAAUCUUCCGCAAUGGACGAAAGUCUGACGGAGCAACGCCGCGUGAACGAUGACGGCCUUCGGGUUGUAAAGUUCUGUUAUACGGGACGAAUGGUACGACGGCCAAUACCCGUCGUAAGUGACGGUACCGUAAGAGAAAGCCACGGCUAACUACGUGCCAGCAGCCGCGGUAAUACGUAGGUGGCAAGCGUUGUCCGGAAUUAUUGGGCGUAAAGGGCGCGCAGGCGGCGUCGUAAGUCGGUCUUAAAAGUGCGGGGCUUAACCCCGUGAGGGGACCGAAACUGCGAUGCUAGAGUAUCGGAGAGGAAAGCGGAAUUCCUAGUGUAGCGGUGAAAUGCGUAGAUAUUAGGAGGAACACCAGUGGCGAAAGCGGCUUUCUGGACGACAACUGACGCUGAGGCGCGAAAGCCAGGGGAGCAAACGGGAUUAGAAACCCGUGUAGUC
rnacentral:rRNA from 1 species